GACAGAGGGUGCAAACGUUGUUCGGAAUUACUGGGCGUAAAGCGCGUGUAGGCAGCUCGGAAAGUCGGAUGUGAAAGCCCUCGGCUUAACCGAGGAAGUGCAUUCGAAACUGACGGUCUUGAGUAUGGAAGAGGGUCGCGGAAUUCCCGGUGUAGAGGUGAAAUUCGUAGAUAUCGGGAGGAACACCAGUGGCGAAGGCGGCGACCUGGGCCAAUACUGACGCUGAGGUGCGAAAGCGUGGGGAGCAAACAGG
rnacentral:rRNA from 1 species